GCGAACGGACCUCCUCUCAUCAAUUCUUUUUCUACUUUGAAAACAUAAUACGACUGGGAUAAAUUAAACGUUCCAACAAAAGCGAAUUAAUGGAAAUAAAUCGAGUUCGGCUAGUCUGGAGAUUAAUGACUAUUUACUUUGGGCCAGAACAGUCAAGUGUUUAACUUGGAGGACCUUGACGGGCCGUGGCAGUAUAACAUUAGUUUGGCCGUUCGAGAUGGGAAGGAUCACUAUUCGUCAGAAGUUCGUUGGUGCAGUUUCAUGAUUCUCACACUUACGUACAUAUCAGCAAGAUGAAGAUUUUAUUUUUUAUCGUUCUAGCGAUAUCGCUUCAAUUCGUUCUGAUGGGAGUUGAAUGCCAAAAAAAAUUCAAUGUGUCGGAUAACAAGGAUCAUGUUGUGAUGAACGUUAGGGACGCCCCUCUGAGAUGUCCCGAAGGCACAGUGAUGACUUUCAAUAACCAAUGCAUCGAACCCUUUUGAAGUUGACAAACGUACACUAGGUUUGAGGGCUGCAACAACUAGUACUGUGAUGGUUCAGCCGAAACUUAUGAAUCUACUGAUUCGCUAGAUGGAAUAUAUUUUUGUAUGAGAAUAAACGUUACAUCGAA